GUUGAACCUCAUCCAAUCGUAGGACAAAGUUUUGUCAGUGUGCAGGCACAAACAGCCCCAAGGAAAAAGUCCCCAGUCGAGAAGAAGGGAUCCAAAUUUCCAAGAGCCAAGGUUCCGAACAAUAGUAGGAGGGGGAGAAGAGAAAGCAGUUUCAGAAGCAAGCACUCUGAGUCGCCUAGGUUCCAUCAGCAAGAAUAGCAGGCCUUCUAGGACGUGGUUAUGGUAAUUCAUUGCCUGAAUUCUCUGAAGAAUCAGAGUUCUCCUUAUUCGUUUCCGAGUAAAGGUAGGUCUCCAAGGCAUUGCUUAAUGGUUGCAAUCCCCUCUCAACUCGAAAGAGACCGGCAACAGUACUCUCCAACAAUCCAACGAGCACAGGAAACAAACCCGGUGCUGCGGAAUCUGAUCAGAAAGUGUCCGGAGCCUCUAGUUAUAAUAGAAACUCUUAACUUUGGGUUGCUUUCUAUUAUCUCUCGCACAAAGACAACAACACCAUUGCCGAACAGGCAACAUUGCUGCUCCCAGAAAUCCAUCAACAAAGAACCACAGGCUUGAAAUUCAGGGGGAACUGAUGCACAUAAUGCGAUAGCUUGAUGAGCAUUUUGCCGGUACUACCAUCCUUCUCAGAUCCCCACUUUGAGUCUUGACAACUCCUUUUUUUUAAAGUUGAACAACCUUCACUGAAAUGUUGGGGGGUGACAAUUUCGACGAACACUAUCAAGUGUUGUUCUCCUAAGGUCCAAGGUUUUGGACUUGAAAGCGCCCUGAGCACACCAUUAUUCAAAAUCAACCAUAAUCUCCCCAUUGAGAAGAUUUGAUGUGCGUUCAGCCGAUCACGACAAUAAGUUUAAACCUUGUUGUCACUCUGAGAGGAAGAAGAAGCUGACAGUAGUAUUAGCUUGACCGUUAAUGCCGUGGGGGCAGAUGAUAAAGAAAACGAGUGUGCCAGCACAUUAUAAAUAACUGCACUUGACAGUGCAUUCAACAAAGAUAUCAUAUUCUUAUGUUACCUCCCCUUUCCCCCUUGUGGUUCUAAAUACUUUAGGAUCAAUCCAACACAACAUUGAAGUAACUCACCCCAUCAGCUACCCCUAUCAAACAUGGGUCGUCCCCAAAGGUAAACUAAUUGCUCGGUCUUGGCCACAAUGAAAAGCAUAGGAAAGCAUUGCCUUUUGGAUGAUUGAUCCUGCUCUGUCGAAAGAGCUUUUCAAGAAUUCUAGGUGCAUCAAACAAAAGCUGUCCACCUGCGGGAAGUUUAUAAAUUGACGAUCACUGCAAGAAUGAUUCCUUCUAAUAAAAGGAUGACGUGCCUCCAAACUUGCCAAAACGGACGGUAUCAAAGGCUCCAUAAUCUCCCCCUCAUUAACCGACAAAGAAACGCACUGUUACACCCCGAAUGAACUCAUUCGGAGGCUGAAGGUGUUCUCAAAUUUUGCAUUAUCAAUUCAUUUCGGUAAGAUGCGUCCUUUGGCAUCAGUUUUAUCAAGGAUCUCCACAGAAAGAGCAACACUUUUUGAACUGUAUGGUCUCCAGAGGGUAAAACCCCAGAUCUAACUAUAGUGCUCACGCGCUAGUGAGGUAAGUUUCACCCCAUUCAGAAGAAGCAUGAUUGCUUUUUCAUGGCCUCACCCUUUGCGGAAACAUCAUUCCUUCAAGCGCUUCAUGAUCUCAUUUGCAAUAGGCUGCCUUUCUUUGUUUUUUUUUUUUUUUUUUUUUUUUUUUUUUUUUUUCUCUUCCCUUUUCUUUUUUCGAAGUGAAAGUGCACAAGGAAGGAGCAAGAUUUCUCCAUGUUCCUAUUUCUGAUCUUAGAACCAAAUAUAUCAAAUUUAGAUCAGAGAAAUUAUUUAGAUGGCCAAAAAUUGGUUCUCCUAAAUAGACACACGAAAGGAUGUAUGAAAAAGAAAGAAAAGUUGGGAUCUAGGCUUCCUGUACAUAUUCGAUGAUUUAGAAAGUUAGAAAACAAAAAACUUCACAAAAAAUGAGGGUAAUUUUGCCAAUUUCCCCAAGUUGGAUAAUCGUCUUUCUAUUUUCUCAUGAAAAAGAAAAAAUUAACAGACACAUAAACCAAAAAUUUCUAAUACUAUAACCAAAAUCAUCUCACAUCAGCUCCACGAAAUGACUUCGAUUGCUGAAAAUUGUUUUGCUGACAAUAAAAGCAAAAAUGUAUGGAAAAGGAAAAGGAAAAGGCACCGGAACGAAAAACUUUUAUGGUGUGUUUAGAUUAAGGAUGCGGUUGGAAGAAAAAGAAAGAAAGGUAAUGUACAGUUAAUGUAUUCCCCGUGCAGAUUUAUCUUUUCCUUUUAUUUUCUUAUCCCUCCCCCAAAUCCUUGAUCCAAAUACAGCCUUAAAUGUUUUGGAGCUUGGUUUUCUAUACGUAAAAGGAUAGAAACCAAAACUAGUAUAGCCUUUUUUUCAAUCUUCUCAAUAAAACAACUACAGAACACAGACCAAAAUUCCUGAUACUACAAUCGAAUCAUCGCACUCCAUAUCCACUAAAACUUAA
rnacentral:lncRNA from 1 species